CUUCAGGAAGCGAAGAAUCCGACACUUCUAUAUUAAGUUGUCAUACUUGGAUAUCUUAUGGGAGGAGCUUUGCCCCUUUGGCUUUGCUUCUAUUUUUGUGCCCCUUAGCCCCUCCGGUUCCGCCCCUCAUUAUUUUAAGAGGUUAUUUUGUUCAUGAACUAUAUAGGCUACACACUUUAAUUAACGUAAUUUUUAUUUCAUUUGAUCAACAGUUACCAUGAACAUAGUGAUCUCUUAUGUCUAAAUAUCUACAUAAAAUUUUGAUGUAAAUUUUCUAAUUCUAAAAUUUUGAAUUUUAUCUAGGCCACCCAUUGACAGUACAAUCUUGGACAUUACUGGUUGAGACUACCGUUCCCUUUAUACAAAAUUCACGUACCCCUUGUGAUAAAUUCCAUGUAGUGAAUCAUGUUGCGCUUCUGAAGCACUGAUCUAGAAUUACUUAGAUCAGUGUUCUGAAGCCCCCGCUCCCCCCAACUCAAUGUUGAGCUUGUGUACGUCAUGGUAAAUUAGUAAAAGUUGUUUUGGUGCUGUUUGAACUGGGGGAAGGGGGUGACGAAAUUUGUUUUCUCAAGGGUUAUGUCCAAGAUUGUAGCUUUUAGACUGAUACACCUUUAUUAUUAUUUUUUAUUGUGGAUUAACCUUUUUGUAUUUACUGUAACUUUAUGCAAUAAUUCCAUCCCUCAAUAUCGAGUUGCACAGUACAUGUAACAUGUAUAUGAAGAGAUGAAACUAUGAUGUUCUAGUUGCGACAAGCGAGCGAGCUGGGAGCAUCCUAAUCUCAGAUAUGGGUGAUUUUCGCUGGAUAGUGAAAAUUCAACAAAAAAUUGUGCUCAACACCUUUUUCGCUGGAAUUUGUUUUCAACACCAUUUGCGGACUCAUUUUAUCCGUAUAUGGAACUCGUGACCAUAUAUGGCGAGCCACAUGAAAAAUUUUGCCUUCUUAGUUCGUGC